UACGAAGGGGGCGAGCGUUGUUCGGAAUUACUGGGCGUAAAGGGCGCGCAGGCGGCUCUGAAAGUCAGAUGUGAAAUCCCCGGGCUCAACCUGGGAAUGGCGGUGGAUACUGGAUAGCUAGAGUGUGUCAGAGGAUGGUGGAAUUCCCGGUGUAGCGGUGAAAUGCGUAGAGAUCGGGAGGAACAUCAGUGGCGAAGGCGGCCAUCUGGGACAACACUGACGCUGAAGCACGAAAGCGUGGGGAGCAAACAGG
rnacentral:rRNA from 1 species